CAAAUUUGAAAUCUGGCACCUUCGGUGUCCGAGUUGUAAUUUGAAGAAGGUAACUUUGGAGUUGGCUCUUGUCUAUGUUCCUUGGAACAGGACGUCACAGAGGGUGAGAAUCCCGUGCGAUGAGAUGUCCAACUCUAUGUAAAGUGCUUUCGAAGAGUCGAGUUGUUUGGGAAUGCAGCUCUAAGUGGGUGGUAAAUUCCAUCUAAAGCUAAAUAUUGGCGAGAGACCGAUAGCGAACAAGUACAGUGAUGGAAAGAUGAAAAGAACUUUGAAAAGAGAGUGAAAAAGUACGUGAAAUUGUUGAAAGGGAAGGGUUUGAGAUCAGACUUGGUAUUUUGUAUGUCUUGCUUUCGGGUGGGGCCUCUGCAGUUUACUGGGCCAGCAUCGGUUUGGACGGUAGGAUAAUGACAUUGGAAUGUGGCACUACUUCGGUGGUGUGUUAUAGACUUUGUUGAUACUGCCUGUCUAGACCGAGGACUGCGUCUUUGACUAGGAUGCUGGCAUAAUGAUCCUAAAC
rnacentral:rRNA from 1 species